GAUGAAGAACGUAGCGAAAUGCGAUAAGUAAUGUGAAUUGCAGAAUUCAGUGAAUCAUCGAAUCUUUGAACGCAUCUUGCGCCCCUUGGUAUUCCGGGGGGCAUGCCUGUUCGAGCGUCAUUAUAACCCCUCAAGCUCAGCUUGGUGUUGGGGCCUGCCGACUGGCAGCCCUUAAAAUCAGUGGCGGCGCCAUCUGGCUCUAAGCGUAGUAAUUUCUCUCGCUAUAGAGUCCCGGUGGAUGCUUGCCAGCAACCCCCAACUUUCUAUGGUUGACCUCGGAUCAGGUAGGGAUACCCGCUGAACUUAAGCAUAUCAAUAAGCGGAGGA
rnacentral:misc_RNA from 1 species